UUUUUUUUUCCAGGACCAGAAGAGACCAGCUUGACUCAGCACUCUCCUCCAAGCGGUGCAGACAAGGGCCACCCUGGAGAGUCUCUGGGGGCCGCGGCGGAAUCGGGAGGGAGGAAGUGGGGAGGCCUUUGGGUGUUUGAUGUCUGAUGUCACCAAGGAACUCCAAGAUUAAAAGCAUCCUUAUUGCUGAGUUGCUCGUCGGUAUAUAAGAAAAGGCGCAGACAGCUGGGAAUGACCAAUUCCAUGAGAGCCUUGGAAUUAGGUGAUGCUCAGGCAACGGAGCACUUCGAGGACCCCUACCUUCACCCACCGGGGCCACACACCUCCUUUGCCUUUGAUUAGCAUCUUAAUGUUGCUUGACGUGUUGCGUAAGGUCUAGCGUCUCAACUGGCGGUGGUUUGGAGGGGCUUAAAACUACAUUUGUGAAGUGUGGAGGGAAGAAAUCGGACACACAAAUCCUGGUAGAGUCCAACUAAGUUUUAAGUCCGGAAGCCGAGUCUCAGGGCGAGUUUGAGAAAGGGGUGGGGACAGCAAGCCGCAGCGCCCGACCUUCGGCAGAGAGCUGGAGUGCAGGCGCGAGCCGCCUCCUCCCCGUCCAGUUUCUGUAACAUCACAAUGGAAUGCUCGAGUUUCCAUCCUGGGCCUGUCCAGUAUCUCUUUUUCUAAUGAAAGCUAUAUUCCACCACCACACCAAAUCUGGCGAGGGGUGGGAGUGCGAGAGCGUGCUGCAGAGCCCACAGGGCAAGAAGAAAAAGCCAGCAGCCGGAGAGGGCAGGAACGUACGCUUCAGGAUGCAGUCCGCCAGCGGCCUCCCUCUUUUCUCGAAGAGAUUUGUCCUCUCUUAUUUGUGGCUUGUUUGUUUUUAAACAGUAGCCUGCAGACGCUGAGGCUGCGUGGAGAGCGGUCAGAGGGGAUAGUGGUGGAAGGGGAGAUUCAACUC